AAUCUGGGGUCGACGACCCCCGAGUUGUAAUUUGGAGAGGCAUCCUCCGGGAGGAGCGCUGGCCCAGGUUCCUUGGAACAGGACGUCACAGAGGGUGAGAAUCCCGUGCCAGGCUGGCUGCCUCCUCCGGCGUGGAGGGCCUUCGACGAGUCGAGUUGUUUGGGAAUGCAGCUCCAAGUGGGUGGUAGAUUUCAUCUAAAGCUAAAUACCGGCGGGAGACCGAUAGCGCACAAGUAGAGUGAUCGAAAGAUGAAAAGCACUUUGAAAAUAGAGUCAAAAAGUACGUGAAAUUGUUGGAAGGGAAGCGCUUGAGGCCAGACUCGGACCCGAGCAAACAUCGAGCCCCUCGGGGCCGUGCAAUUGCUCGGUGCCGGGCCAGCAUCGGUUGGCGUGGCGGGACAAAGGUGCGGGGAAUGUGGCUCCCCUCGGGGUGUGUUAUCAGGCCCGCGCCCCAUGCCGUCGACGCCGACCGUGGACCGCGCCCUACGGGCUAGGAUGCUGGCUUAAUGGCCUUCAGCGACCCGUCUUGAAACACGGACCAAGGAGUCUAACAUCUAUGCGAGUGUUUGGGCGUCAAACCCUUGCGCGUAAUGAAAGUGAGCGGAGGUGGGAACCCCUCACCGGGCGCACCAUCGACCGAUCCUGAUGUCUUCGGAUGGAUUUGAGUA
rnacentral:rRNA from 1 species